GGAAAGAAAAGAUUAAUACCUGAUACGUAUGGUGAGAUUGCAUGAUAACACCAUUAAAGAUUUAUUGGUAAACGAUGGGGAUGCGUUCCAGUUAGAUAGUAGGCGGGGUAACGGCCCACCUAGUCUUCGAUGGAUAGGGGGUUCUGAGAGGAAGGUCCCCCACAUUGGAACUGAGACACGGGUCCAAACUCCUACGGGAGGCAGCAGUGAGGAAUAUUGGUCAAUGGACGAGAGUCUGAACCAGCCAAGUAGCGUGCAGGAUGACGGCCCUAUGGGUUGUAAACUGCUUUUAUAAGGGAAUAAAGUGAGUCUCGUGAGACUUUUUGCAUGUACCUUAUGAAUAAGGACCGGCUAAUUCCGUG
rnacentral:rRNA from 1 species